ensembl:lncRNA
AAUUUGAUGUUGGAGGUGGGGCAAAAGAUGUCAAAUUCUAUGCCUGCUGUAGUUGCUUAGGCACUCUAUGCAGACCACCAAAAGCCCUCUUUGAAGUGAAAGUGUUAGGACUCCUGUGAGAAGCCAUAAAGAACCUUUAAUAUUGAUGGUGGUGGGCUCCAAACACUGAAAUUAAUACUUGUGAAAUAAAGGUGGAAAGAAAAAUUAUCUCCUUCUUAUUGAGUUCUUUCUGAUACAAGGUACUGUGUGAAGUCUUUGACAUGAACUUUUCUCAGUUAAGCCUUAAGCCCCUACAUGGUGGCACUGUUAUCACCUCUCCUUUACGAUGUUGAAAAGGAGGGAUGGUGAUGCUUUGUCACUUUCCCCAGUCACUCUCAAGACCUCUCAAACUACAAAGCUGGUGGUCAUAGCCAUGCUGUGAUACUGUCCCUGCCCUUGGUGGUGGACCCAGCCUUCUCUGCUGAUACCAGGCAAAGGUGAAUCCUAGCUGAGGGUCUGAGCUGCGCCUUUGCUCCCAGCCUGCCUCCUCUGUGGUGGGCUGAUAGCUGGCUUUUAGGUGGUAAGCUUCAGGAGGCAGACAUCUGAGACAAAGCUGAGAUUGUAGUUCUUAGGCUUCCCGGGUAACUGCCACUAUGUGUUUUUAUGCCCCAGGAGAAAUGUGUGUAACGUGUUUGGUGCCCUCUUUGGGGUUUUAGGAGGAAAUGGACCAGGGAAAAGUCACAGUGUCUCAAGAAAGACAAUGCCACAAUACCUCACCAUGAUGUCACAUUGAAAGAUUACAAAGCCAGAACACAGCAAAGCCACCAUGGCCCUAAGCCACCAUGGCAAGUGGGUGUCAGGAUGCUGUGAUGUAAUUACCAGAUCGACAAACCAGAGCUCUGUAACAGCACAUGACCAGAGCCUUCACCACCACAAAAUGGGACCUGACACCAACACAACUCCACACUGAGGUUACAACCUGGCUCUACAAAGGACAACACUGCAUGACACCACCACACCAUAACAUUUGGAGAAGCCGGUUCAUGCGACUUAAAGCACCUGGGAGCCCAUGGUCAGCUGAGCUGUGUGAUGCUCCAUCUCUGCAGAUGUCUGGGGACCUGGCCAGAGCUGUACCCCAUGAGGAGCUAGAGACACAAACGGAACUUACUCUAAGGCAACAAUAAUAAGUAGCAUGAGAAAAUAUGAUGCGGCUGUUUUUACUGCCAUCAUUUUGCUUAAUUAAAUAAAAUCUGCAGGGAUGUGUAGCAGGGGUUACUCCUCUGUCAUGUGCCCUUUUUCUCCUGGUUAUUUUGAUCCUGGCACCCACCUAUAACCCAAGCCCUGUCAUGACUGGUUAUUUUCAAAUCUGCAAUCAUUUCUUCUUGUUGACUUGCUGAAACUUCACCCUAUUUUGGAGCACAGAAAGUUGGCUCCUAAAAGUGGGGUCCACAGGUGGAGGCCUGGAGAGAGUGAGCGCAGAUAUUCAAAUGCAAGCUCAUUAAUAUUGUGUAGGAGUCAGACACAUAGACACACGUCCACAAUGGCGUUAUUCACAAUAGCAAAAAGGUGGAAACAACCCAAAUGUUCAUCAGUGAAUGAAUGGAUAAAUACACUGUGGUGUACACCUACAAUAGAACAUUAUUCGAUCACAGAGAGAAAUGAUGUACUGACAUAUGCCGCAAUGUGGACGAACCCCGAAAAUAUGCUAAGAAGCUAGACUGAAAAGUCACAUAUUGUAUUAUUCCAUUUAUAUCAAAGAGCUAGAAUAGGUAAAUCCACAGAGAGAAUGCAGACUGGUAGUUGCCAGGGUCUUGGGGUAGAAAGGAAUGGGAAUAGCUGAUUGCAGAUUUGAAAAUAUUUUGGAACUAGAUAAAGAUUGUGGCUGCAUGACAUUGUAAAUGUACUAAAUGCCACUGAACCAUUCAUUUUAAAAUGGUUAAUUUCAUAUAUGAAUCUCAAGUGAGGCCAAAUUUUAAAAAGUGCUACGAGGAGAGAUUUGUUCAAAGCAUUAAAUAGUUGUAAAGCACUUAAGCCAUGCCAGCAAUGACUUUGCCCUUCAAUGGAAGCAGGAUAUGUAUUUUUCCAUCCUUGCACAUUCCAAGCGGACAGCAAAUUUCCCUCGCUGGCAGGAGGGAAGGCAGCCUCUGGGAAGGCUGCCGGGAAAAUGAUGUGAAUGAGAAGAGGUGCUGGGGAAGGGAGAAGAGCCCAGGCCGGAGAGUUAGACUCAACAUCCAGAUCUUCCACCUGAGCCAUGGGAGCGGGAAGGAGAUCUAUUUUUUAAUUUAGGUUUUCUGUGACCUACACCUCCCCCCCCAAAAAAAAAAUCAAUCAGAGGAUACGUAAUUAAAUAGCAAUA